AAGCUAGCGGCAGACUAAUACAUGCAAGUCGAACGGCAGCGCGGGGCAACCUGGCGGCGAGUGGCGCACGGGUGAGUAACACGUACAUAACAUGCCUUUGAGAGGGGGAAAGUCACUGGAAACGGUGAAUAAUCCGCCAUAAGAUAUGAGCCUCGCAUGGGGUAAAUAUUAAAGGAGCGAUCUGCUCAAAGAUUGGUGUGCGUCUGAUUAGCUAGUUGGUGGGGUAAUGGCCCACCAAGGCGACGAUCAGUAGGGGGCGUGAGAGCGUGGCCCCCCACAUGGGUACUGAGACACGGACCCAACUCCUACGGGAGGCAGCAGUAAGGAAUAUUGGUCAAUGGGCGAAAGCCUGAACCAGCCAUGCCGCGUGCGGGAAGAAGGUUCUUAGAAUUGUAAACCGCUUUUGAUAGGGAAGAAUGGGCGAGAUUAAUCUUGCAAGAGACGGUACCUAUCGAAUAAGCACCGGCUAACUCCGUGCCAGCAGCCGCGGUAAUACGGAGGGUGCAAGCGUUAUCCGGAAUCACUGGGUUUAAAGGGUACGUAGGCGGCUCGUUAAGUCAUUAUUGAAAGGUCGUUGCUUAACAACGGACGUGGUAAAGAUACUGGCGAGCUAGAAUUAGACAGAGGUUGGCAGAAUGUGUCAUGUAGCGGUGAAAUGCAUAGAUAUGACAUAGAAUACCGAUAGCGAAGGCAGCUGACUGGGUCUAAAUUGACGCUGAGGUACGAAAGCGUGGGGAUCAAACAGGAUUAGAUACCCUGGUAGUCCACGCCGUAAACGAUGCUAACUGGGUGUAUGAUCGAAUAAGGGUUGUGCACCUGAGGGAAACCAUUAAGUUAGCCACCUGGGAAGUACGCCGGCAACGGUGAAACUCAAAUGAAUUGACGGAAGGGCGAAU
rnacentral:rRNA from 1 species